rnacentral:rRNA from 1 species
CGCGUGGGAACGUGCCCUUCUCUAAGGAAUAGUCUCGGGAAACUGAGGGUAAUACCUUAUACGCCCUUCGGGGAAAGGAUUUAUCGGAGAAGGAUCGGCCCGCGUUAGAUUAGAUAGUUGGUGGGGUAAGUGGCCUACCAAGUCUACGAUCUAUAGCUGGUUUUAGUAGGAUGAUCAGCAACACUGGGACUGAGACACGGCCCAGACUCCUACGGGAGGCAGCAGUGGGGAAUCUUAGACAAUGGGCGCAAGCCUGAUCUAGCCAUGCCGCGUGUGUGAUGAAGGUCUUAGGGUCGUAAA